rnacentral:misc_RNA from 1 species
GAUGAAGAACGUAGCGAAAUGCGAUACGUAAUGUGAAUUGCAGAUUUCAGUGAAUCAUCGAAUCUUUGAACGCACAUUGCGCCCGCUAGUAUUCUGGCUGGCAUGCCUGUUCGAGCGUCAUUUCAACCAUCAAGCCCUAGGCUUGCGUUGGAGCCCUGCGGCUGCCGCAGGCUCCCAAAUCCAGUGGCGGGCUCGUCGUCGUACCGAGUGCAGUAAACAUCCUCGCUCAGGGAACGUGACGGGUUCUUGCCGUGAAACCCCCCACAUAUCAAGGUUGACCUCGGAUCAGGUAGGAAUACCCGCUGAACUUAAGCAUAUCAAUAAGCGGAGGA